rnacentral:rRNA from 1 species
AUGCACGCUGGCGGCGUGCCUCAUCCCUGCCAGUCGAGCGAACAGACGAGGAGCUUGCUCCUCUGACGUUAGCGGCGGACGGGCGAGUAACACGUGGAUAACCUACCUAUAAGACUGGGAUAACUUCGGGAAACCGGAGCUAAUACCGGAUAAUAUAUUGAACCGCAUGGUUCAAUAGUGAAAGACGGUUUUGCUGUCACUUAUAGAUGGAUCCGCGCCGCAUUAGCUAGUUGGUAAGGUAACGGCUUACCAAGGCAACGAUGCGUAGCCGACCUGAGAGGGUGAUCGGCCACACUGGAACUGAGACACGGUCCAGACUCCUACGGGAGGCAGCAGUAGGGAAUCUUCCGCAAUGGGCGAAAGCCUGACGGAGCAACGCCGCGUGAGUGAUGAAGGUCUUCGGAUCGUAAAACUCUGUUAUUAGGGAAGAACAAAUGUGUAAGUAACUAUGCACGUCUUGACGGUACCUAAUCAGAAAGCCACGGCUAACUACGUG